CUGCCCCUGCGUGUCCUGAGUCGCCUUUGGAAAACCAGGAGGGAAUGUGGACCCGGGAGUCCAGUGGAGGCACAGAGGAGCAGAUGGCCUCUACUGCUCUGCAGCGCCUGCGAGUCACCACCUGGAAACCAGUGCCGAUGAUGUAACCACAGCAGCCGGAGGAACGCUCAGAGUUAAACUGCACAAGCCUCACCAUCGGUCUCCAGGUGGCCCUGGAACAGACAGUUCCUGUUUUUAACAGGCGCAGUUCCAGGCACUGGAGACGCUGGUCGACUCGAGACAGGUUCCUGACUUCAUGGAGUUCGCCUUCUAGGCCGGGGCAGGGGGGAAUUUGGACGCAGAGAGAGACAUGUCCAGAGAUGACAUGAAGACCCACCAGGACACAGAAACCUUCUGCAAGUCAAGGAAUGUCUGAGGCUGCCAGAAGCCCAAGGGUCCUGGAACAGAUCCUUCCUCACGGCCUUAGGGGGAGCCAGCCCUGCAGACACUUGAUCUUGGACUUGGACCUCCACAACUGAGAGACGUUCUUUUCUGUUAGGUCACCCUGCCCGUGGGGCCUUGUUGGAGCAGUCCUAGGAAAGCCAUACAGUGCCCUGGGCAGCUACAGAUCCGGAGACAGAACCACCAGGAAUCUUGACUGCAGCAGACCCUGUGGCCUUGAGUGGCUCCCUCGAUCCCAUGACCUUGGCUUCUCCGUGGGUUAAUAGGCAAAGCACUGCCCCUUCCCUCCCCCACGGAGGAUGCGGUAGCCCCAGUCGCAGAAAGACGGGUGCGUGGAUGCAUGGCUUGUGUGUGCCCUAAGCUAAGUGCACAACUGAUGGCCCUGGAGAAGAGCUACAGAACACGCCUAAAGGAGGGGAGAAGUUAGUCACCCACUAGUCUUUGUUUGGCGCUGAGAAAUUUUAAAAAAUUUAGUUUCAAAUCAUUUUAAGUGGUAAAAUAGACAUUCCAUAAAACUUGCCUCCGUAAGCAUUUUUAAGCAUGCAGUUCAACAGUGUGAAACACACUCAUUGCUCACCACCAGCCACGUCUAGAGCUUUCUCAUUUUGCAAAACUGAAACUCAGAACCCAUUAGACAACCCCACACCCUGGCCCCAGCCCCCACCCAGGAAACCACCAUUCUACUUUCUGUCUCUAUGAAUUUGACUCUUUUUGUACCUCAUCUAAGCCGAGCGGUACAGUUUCGUCUUUUUGUGACUGGCUGAUUUCACUCAGCAUAAUGUCCCCAGGUUUACCCAUUUCGCAGCAGGUGUCAGAAUUUCCUUCCUUUUUGGGCUGAAUGACAUGUCACUGUGUGUCUACACUGGGCUUGUUUAUCCAUUCAUCUGUGGAUGGACACUGACGUUACUUCCACUUUUGGGCUGUGACUGAUUCAUGCUGCCGUGGACACGUGGCUCCUCUUAAAUGCUGCCCUCAUCCUCCUCUGCUGUGGGGGUCCAGGGGUUGAUUUUUCCCUGGGUGUGACAAGCCUGGCAGGGUCCUGGCUGUGUGUCCUGCAGUCUCUGUCUGCGCAGACGUUCCCACGAAGCCAUUGUCAACGUCAGAUCAUUUAAGUUAUGACUGUUCUGGAGUUUUUUCCUGAAGGACCAUCUGUCUUAUCUCCGUUUGACUUUUUGAAAAUGUUGGAACUGUUUUUCAAUUGAAUACAA